rnacentral:rRNA from 1 species
AACGAACGCUGGCGGCAUGCCUAACACAUGCAAGUCGAACGAGACCUUCGGGUCUAGUGGCGCACGGGUGCGUAACGCGUGGGAACCUGCCCUUAGGUUCGGAAUAACUCCCCGAAAGGGGUGCUAAUACCGGAUAAUGUCUUCGGACCAAAGAUUUAUCGCCUUUGGAUGGGCCCGCGUUGGAUUAGCCAGUUGGUAGGGUAAAAGCAUACCAAGGCGACGAUGCAUAGCUGGUCUGUGAGGAUGAUCAGCCACACUGGGACUGAGACACGGCCCAGACUCCUACGGGAGGCAGCAGUGGGGAAUAUUGGACAAUGGGCGAAAGCGUGAUCCAGCAAUGCCGCGUGAGUGAUGAAGGCCUUAGGGUUGUAAAGCUCUUUUACCCGGGAUGAUAAUGACAGUACCGGGAGAAUAAGCACCGGCUAACUCCGUG